CAUUGCCACAUUUUUUUAGUGUUGAAAGCUAAUAUAUUUUAGUAAUGCUUCAAUGAACUGUGGUAGCAACAAAUAAAGAAAUUGACUUCUGUCCCAAAAUAUGGGGAGUAGAGUUGUAAUCAGGAUUACAAAAAAAAAGGGGCCAGUAUUACAAGCUGCUAAAAUGCUUUUGCGUGGAUUAUUGUUUUAUUUGGACCCCCUCCACCCUUUAAAUCUGAUACAUGCUAAGAUUUUCAUGGGCACAGCCACCUCCUAAUAUGUGGUUUUGCUUCUCUGCAAGCAUGGAAUCCCCUCUGCAGUUAUGUUUGCCUGUGCAUCUCCGGCAGCUGGAGGACGAAUCACAUCAGGCUGAUGAGUGUGUCACGCUCUUCAUCCCCCAAGAGCUGUGAUGAAGACCAAGACAAACAGUAGAUUAACAGUGCUACCUUUUAUAAGGCUGAUUAGUUCCUAAAAUAUGCUGAAAGGAAACAAAACCAAAAAGAAAAAAGAGUGGAAAGGGGGGUGAGACAGAAACCUUUGUCGGUGAGUUUGAAACAGCUCCAUUUCUUUCAUUAGUUGCAGAUAUUGACCUUCCGAUGAAAUAUUUUCUUUGUGUGGGAAGGCUUUGCCAGGGUAGCAUUUAUUAGGCAGGUGCCUGGUAAGUGUUUCUAAGCAAAUAUUACUUUACUGCCUAAUUUUGGUUUAAGGGGAGAGUUGUACCAGGGAUGAAUUUGGAAAACAUUUGAUGAUGGUUCAUCUGCCACCCCUUAGAGCAGGGGCUAUCGAGUGGUUGACAGUAUCCAAAUCAGAAUUCCAAAGACGCUGUUCCAUCCGGAAUCAUUAAGAGGAACACAGCCUCUUAGAAUCUCAUUCAGCUCCUCUGGAUUUGAAGGAAUUUACAGAGAAACUUCCAAGACACCUCAGCUAUAUCCAAACGAAAGCCUAAGCAUUAUGGUUUGGCAGAGCUGAAAAUGUGUCUCUGGAAAGAAAAAAAAAUUAUAUAAAGCUCCACAGAAAAUAUUUCUGGGCAUCAGCUUGUUUCCUUUGAGGGAUGGGAGGUUGUUCCUGAAAUUGUUCAAUUUGAUUUAAAGUUAAAUAAAAAUGUGAAAGACCAGGGUACAUUAAUAAGAUGAUCCACCUGCUUAUAAUAAUAGGAUAAUUCACAUCCUCAUUGUCAGAGUAGAAAGGAUCCCAAUAAGGUCAGUCUUUAAACUCAGUAUGUUUCAUUCUUUGGUGCUGUCUCACUUAGAUUCUCAGCGCCACUUGUCUGCCCUUCUUUUCCACUAUGCACCUUUAUUGCAAAUUUAGUUCCAUUAGGUAGAUGCUUGCAUCGUUAUGAAGCCUGAUUCCAUCAUUUUCAAAGUGCCAAGCCAUUUGAAUACGAUACGG
rnacentral:lncRNA from 1 species